UCAAACAAAAGGCGGCAAAACUUCCACUCACCUCUCUCCCUCCCCGCUUUCUCUCUCCAGCCUCCCAAUUUCUCAUCUGUAAACAUCGCAGAAGCAUACAAUUUCACUCGACCGCGACUUUAUCUCUCCCUAUUAUAUUGUUCGAGCGGGAUAGAUCUGCGAACUACACCCUGAGAAACAGUGAGUUUGAUCUAUUUUAAUAUGUAUUCACGCAUAAUAUAAGAAUUUGUUAGUUUCGGGGGUUUUGCUCGAUCCAGUAUGUUUGAAUAUUUAUUUAUUUGGUAAUUUGAUUUGGUUUUUCUGCUGUUCUUUCUAGAAUUGAAGGUAUUGCAAUUGUGUUAUAGGAUUUCAUAAAUUUUGGUUAUUUCGUUUCCGCAUUUUAUUUAGGAUCAAUGUGUGGAUAUGCAUAUUGUAAGAAAACGUAUGACUGAGACAUGGGAUGGGAACAUUGGAUGAACGAUUUAGAACAAGCUCGCAGCUAGGGUUUCUGUUUUCUGUGGAUGCUACAAUAUAUAUUUUUUUAAUUUCUAUAGCUGUUGGAUCUGUGAAAAUGUUGUUACUUACUCGUAUGUGUUUAUUGAUUACGAAAGAGUCUUCAUACUAGGAGGUGCUCUUUCUAAAUAAGUAUGCGUUUUCCUUUUCGUUCUUUCAGUAGUUUAAAGAAAUCUUAUUCAUGGUAGAAGUUCCAGUUGAUUAUUACAGGAUUGCAUUGCAAAAGUGAUUAAACGCUAUGCUGAGUCGAUCCGAUUUCUAUCUGAAAAGCUUCUGUUACCUGUUCCAUUGCGGCAGGAAGAUGACUCGUUAAUGGUAGUGAUCAGAAAAACGAGAAGAAUUGAUCUCACUGGCAGAAGCAUGUGGAGUUAUCUCACCAGUUCAUCGUGGUAGACUAUUAUACUAUUCUAUUGCUUCAAGCUCAAUUUAAAUUCUAACUUCUGUUUGUUCAACCAAUUUGAUGCACUAUCUUGCUAUAUGCUCUACUGCUAGUGCUGAUUGUAGUUGUUCUUCUACCAAACUUCUCUACGAAUUUCCCUGCAUAAAUUUUUAUGGUGAAAUCUAAAUCCAGGGGUGUAUGUGAUGGGUUUACAGUGAAGAAUAUACGCCCCUGGUAUGUGUAAUACAGGGUGAUAUAUAGUCUGCAUAUUAGGCUUUAAAUUGGUCCUAUUAAUAUUUAUGUCUACGAAGAAAUCAAUGCUUCUUUCAAAGACGGAUUUCUGAGAUAGAUAUAUAGACGACACAGCUGUGAAUUACGUUCUUUAAUUUAACCUUCCCUACUAAAAAUUGUAUAGAAAAAUGGCUCACAUGGUGAGUAUGAAUUGUUAAAAAUAUAACUAUGAAAAAAAUGGAACUAUGGAAAAAUGUAACUGUUUAUGAUGUACAUGCAGCCCCUUUCUGGAACCUGUACUUUGAGCAGCAGAAAAUAACUUAUUGGUCAUACGCCAAUGUACAUACAACUGGGGGAAGAACAUGUUAACUACCAACUCAAGGGAAGAGGACAAAUGAAUGUAAAAAAAUUGUUAGCUGCCUAUGGUUAUCCUACUUCUGCAGUUUCGUUUCUUCUUGGAGGAAGCGGAUUCUGGUUAUUUGACUUUGCAACUUUAUCUGAUAUAUAACUUAUUUUCACUCAUUUUUCUUUGGCAUCAUCUUACUGGCAGGAAGAUGUAACCUGGCCUUUAGGGGUCUUGGUGCUCGAUGUUUCUGGUCAAAUCCUCUAACGCAGACAAAUCCUGCAAUGCAUAUUUGAAAUUACAAUUG
rnacentral:lncRNA from 1 species